rnacentral:tRNA from 1 species
GCGGGAAUAGCUCAGUUGGUAGAGCGCAACGUUGCCAAGGUUGAGGUCGCGAGUUCGAGUCUCGUUUCCCGCUCCA